CAGGACUGGCCAAAGAUACGGACUAAAACUAAAUAUUCUCUUCUACCUCGUGUUUCUCUGAAAAAUAUUAUUAAGGAAAAAUUUUGUUAAUUUAAAAAGUGUCGAGUUUAAAAAUGACAUUUAAAAAUAUUGAACGAAACGCUCAUAAAGCAUAUGAUACAUGGGUACUUGAAAAUAUAAAAGAAAUAUUCUCAUAAGUAAGCCGGGCCAGGUUUUCAAUUAAUUUGUUCAGGAGGUUCACUAAUUUUCUACAAAAUUUGAAGGUCAUGUCAUUAAAUGGUACGUCAAGUUAAUGUUUUGUCGUAAUGGAUUGCAAGGUUGAUUCAGGAUUUUAUUUGACGCUGAUAAUAAAUUGAAACCUAAGGAUCAUGUAACCUGUAAGUUACCUGGUCGACGUUGACAAAAAUAAGUUUUUCAUUGGACGUAAGAACCGGAAAUUUCAUUCUACACUUUUUUAUUCGCCUGAUGUUUCUUUAGGCGUCUUUUGUGGAUGUUAAUUACCAAACACCAUUGUUGAUAAACUACUUCCAAACAAUACUAUGUUUCCUUUCGAAUUAAUACAACGUUCUAUUGCCCCAGAUACCAAUUUAUCAGGGUAUUGAAUUUCCAAUCCAUAAAACUGAUUUAGAAACACGAUGUUCGAAAUUAUAUGAAACUGUUACUCGUCAUCAUCAAAUAUGUCAUCAUCAAAUGUCUGACAGCAAUGAUAACCAAAUAACUCUUACGGAUUUCACUCCAGAUAUAUUUAAAAGAGUUUUAGAAUUUAUGUUCACUGGGAAAGUCAAGGAUUUGGAUGAUCAUGCAGAAGAUUUGCUAGAAACUGCUUCAAAAUUUUAAUUUUUUUAAUUAUACUAAAACUUUCUUUUUUUUAAUAAUCGAAAUAUUUAAUUUCAAUGAUUAAAUCACUUAAAUUUUUUUUUUGUAGGUGUACCGGAGGGAAUUAGAAUUGUACCAGAGGAGAUGGCUUUGCGUCACUAGAUAACAAUCCAUUUAUUAACCGUGGCAAGAUUUUUCUUCAUUAAAAUUGAUAUUUCAUAAAUAAAUUGGUUUUUUCUACUCAACUUA